rnacentral:lncRNA from 1 species
AUGUCACAUGCUAGGAAAGGAAUGCUCAAAAUUCUCCAAGCCAGGCUUCAGCAAUACGUGAACCGUGAACUUCCUGAUGUUCAAGCUGGUUUUAGAAAAGGCAGAGGAACCAGAGAUCAAAUUGCCAACAUCUGUUGGAUCAUGGAAAAAGCAAGAGAGUUCCAUAAAAACAUUUACUUCUGCUGUAUUGACUAUGCCAAAGCCUUUGACUGUGUGGAUCACAACAAAGUGUGGAAAAUUCUGAGAGAGUUGGGAAUACCAGACCACCUGACCUGCCUCUUGAGAAACCUGUAUGCAGGUCAGGAAGCAACAGUUAGAACUGGGCAUGGAGCAACAGACUGGUUCCAAAUAGGAAAAGGAGUACGUCAAGGCUGUAUAUUGUCACCCUGCUUAUUUAACUUCUAUGCAGAGUACAUCAUGAGAAACGCUGUACUGGAAGAAACACAAGCUGGAAUCAAGAUUGCCGGGAGAAACUUCAAUAACCUCAGAUAUGCAGAUGACACCACUCUUAUGGCAGAAAGUGAGGAGGAACUAAAAAGCCUCUUGAUGAAAGUGAAAGAAGAGAGUGAAAAAUUUGGCUUAAAGCUCAACAUUCAGAAAACUGACAUCAUGGCAUCUGGUCCCAUCACUUCAUGGGAAAUAGAUGGGGAAACAGUGGAAACAGUAUCAGACUUUAUUUUUGGGGGCUCCAAAAUCACUGCAGAUGGUGACUGCAGCCAUGAAAUUAAAAGACGCUUACUCCUUGGAAGAAAAGUUAUGACCAACCUAGAUAGCAUAUUAAAAAGCAGAGACUUUUCUUUGCCGACUAAGGUCCAUCUAGUUAAGGCUAUGGUUUUUCCUGUGGUCAUGUAUGGAUGUGAGAGUUGGACUGUGAAGAAAGCUGAGCACCGAAGAAUUGAUGCUUUUGAACUGUGGUGUUGGAGAAGACUCUUGAAAGUCCCUUGGACUGCAAGGAGAUCCAACCAGUCCAUUCUGAAGGAGAUCAGCCCUGGGAUUUCUUUGGAAGGAAUGAUGCUAAAGCUGAAACUCCAGUACUCUGGCCACCUCAUGCGAAGAGUUGACUCAUUAGAAAAGACUCUGAUGCUGGGAGGGAUUGAGGGCAGGAGGAGAAGGGGACGACAGAGGAUGAGAUGGCUGGAUGGCAUCACGGACUCGAUGGACGUGAGUCUGAGUGAACUCCGGGAGUUGGUGAUGGACAGGGAGGCCUGGCGUGCUGCGAUUCAUGGGGUCACAAAGAGUCGGACACGACUGAGCGACUGA